GGACACUGUGAAUGUCAGCCCAGAAGGUGAUCAGAGCCUGUUAAUUAAAAUGGAAAGAAGACAGAAGGGAAGGUAGACAUCAGGUUCUCCCUGGAGACUUUUCGUUUUCAUUUACGCUGCGGAAACUGACGUUUUUGCCUAACACCCCAUGUAAUGUAAACGUAUAGGCUUGAGUACGUGUCCGGCCGCAUGUGUAGUGAACCCUAAAGCUUUCCUAAUUGUAGUUAGCAUCGUCCCUAAGCGGAACGAUUUUCCGUGAACAUGAUUUGUACUUUUCUACGAGCCGUACAGUAUACGGAGAAGCUGCACAGGUCCUCGGCAAAGCGAUUGCUUUUGCCAUACAUCGUGCUUAACAAAGCGUGCUUGAAGACUGAGCCCAGUUUGAGAUGUGGGCUUCAAUAUCAAAAGAAAACGCUGCGACCUAGAUGUAUUCUUGGAGUCACCCAGAAAACCAUCUGGACGCAGGGACCGAGCCCCCGAAAAGCAAAGGAGGAUGGCAGCAAACAAGUGUCUGUGCACAGGAGUCAGAGAGGGGGAACCGCCGUCCCAACAUCACAAAAAGUGAAAGAAGCCGGAAGAGAUUUUACCUAUUUAAUAGUGGUGCUUUUUGGAAUCAGCAUUACAGGUUGCAAAAAACAGCAAGUGGCUUGUUUUACACGAUUUUCAAAGAACUUUUUUCUUCAUCCAGUCCUAGCAAGAUAUAUGGGAGAGCCUUAGAAAAAUGCAGAUCACAUCCUGAGGUGAUCGGUGUCUUUGGUGAGUCUGUUAAAGGCUAUGGGGAGGUGACAAGGCGGGGUCGCCGGCAGCAUGUCAGGUUCACUGAAUAUGUAAAAGAUGGGCUGAAACACACGUGUGUGAAAUUCUACAUUGAGGGCUCUGAGCCAGGGAAGCAAGGAACGGUGUAUGCGCAAGUGAAAGAGAACCCAGGAAGUGGUGAAUAUGAUUUUCGAUAUAUAUUUGUAGAAAUUGAAUCUUAUCCUAGAAGAACUAUUAUCAUUGAAGAUAAUCGAUCCCAAGAUGAUUAAAAUAGGGUUUCUGAUGGAUGUUGAAUGGCGUGGACUCGCUACUCCGUUCUUCACAGCUGCCUUCCAGAAUGUGUUCAAAAGAAAGACAAGAAGGAGUGUAUGGCUUAUAAAGUGAAUCUAAUACAGUAUUUGUUGCAUUUAAACAAACUAGACAUUUUCUUACGGAAAAAUUAUGAAAUACAGCAUAUUUUAUGUUCUCCCAUUGACUCAAUCAUGACAAUAUUUCUGCUUUAACACCAUCUUUCAUGAUUAGAAAUGUUUGUUAUUGGAAAUGUUACACCAUGUAAAUAAAGGAAAUAGAUUUUA
rnacentral:lncRNA from 1 species